AUGAACGCUGGCGGCGUGCCUAAUACAUGCAAGUCGAGCGAACAGACGAGGAGCUUGCUCCUCUGACGUUAGCGGCGGACGGGUGAGUAACACGUGGAUAACCUACCUAUAAGACUGGGAUAACUUCGGGAAACCGGAGCUAAUACCGGAUAAUAUAUUGAACCGCAUGGUUCAAUAGUGAAAGACGGUUUUGCUGUCACUUAUAGAUGGAUCCGCGCCGCAUUAGCUAGUUGGUAAGGUAACGGCUUACCAAGGCAACGAUGCGUAGCCGACCUGAGAGGGUGAUCGGCCACACUGAAACUGAGACACGGUCCAGACUCCUACGGGAGGCAGCAGUAGGGAAUCUUCCGCAAUGGGCGAAAGCUUGACGGAGCAACGCCGCGUGAGUGAUGAAGGUCUUCGGAUCGUAAAACUCUGUUAUUAGGGAAGAACAAAUGUGUAAGUAACUAUGCACGUCUUGACGGUACCUAAUCAGAAAGCCACGGCUAACUACGUG
rnacentral:rRNA from 1 species